CGCUUUGCUCUAGGUUAUGCUACGAAACUGUAUCAAUCCUCAGUCUCAUUUGCUGCGUGUAGUAUGCAGAAUCAAAAAUGUUUCAUGACAAAAAAUAUACAAACUUACAAAUACUUUGAAAUUGAAUGCUUGCUAUCAAAUGAGCUUUUUUCCUUUUCGCCAGAUGAAUCAAAAUUGGAGUUUUCAUCGUCAUCUUCUUCUGCUUCUCAAUGUCAAAAAACAAGCAGAGGUGCAAACAAAAAUUAGAAAAACAUAAUGAGGAUAUGGUUCUCUUCACAAAGAACCUCACAAAUUGUACAACUUUCUGCAAAUGUAAUAAGUAAGUGGAAUGGAGAAAUUGAUCAAAUAAUUAUUGUUAUGUAAAAUCCUGUUAGUAACAACUUAAUUUCAUAUAAAAUCGUUCUAGCAUCAAUGCAGAUUUUUUGAUCCUUAUGACAAGUCUCAAGAAAUUCUUUCAGCAUGGUUAUAAGAGAUAAAAUUUUUGAAUUAUUUCACAGAAACAAAUCGUUAAGAGAGUUUCAAAAGGAUAAUGAUUUGGCAGUGGAAAAAACCUUACAGGUUUAAAAUGUUUCUGAAAACUUGAUAUUUUACCCAUAACGAAGCAGAUAUUAGGACAGAAUCUUUUCAGUUUUAAAUUGUUCCACUACUAAAUCGUUAAUAUUCCUCGAAUGCAAGGUAAAAUUUAAAUCUUUUUUUAAGCAAUAAGAACCAGAAAUUUGACAUCAAGUUGUACCAGCUUAAUCUGAAUGAUUUUUAAUAUGACAUGUCUCAAGUCUAUUGUGAAAUUCGAUGAACAAGUGCAAUCUGAGACGGUACCUUCUUAGAUCAUGUAUUUGUUUCAAUACAUAUGAGGUGCAAAUCAACCCAAAAAAUGUUAUGCAACAAAAUCUGAUGAAAGGAAAAGUUAUUGGACAAUGUUACUUAUUUAGAAAUGAAGAGGAAUGAAAUUAAUAAACGAUGUUUCACUAAUCUCUAUGACCCUUAUGCUCUUCUUGAGAUGAUGUCAAUGGGAUGGCAAAAAUGAUGUCAAUCUGGAAGCAAGCCUGGUUAGAGUGAAAAUGGAUGAUAAACUGUUCAGCGCAAGAAGAAUGAUAGAAGAAAGUCAUUCAAUUUGCAGAUGAUAUGGGGGUAGUGGCCGUUCUGAAGGGAAGUUUCACGGCGGUACGAGCCAGAACAGAAGCAGUGCUUCUCACUCUGAACUGGUAUUGCAGACGAAGAAAUGCUCCUUGAAUAACUCGGUAUGGAUACAGAUGAAGACUACAAUUAACGGAAAACUGAACAUCUGAAAACAAGCCUAUCUAGAAACUAAACAUUAUGAAAUGAACAAUAAAUAAGCAAUUAUAACGCCGCAAUUAAUAUGUGAAAUAGAAAUCUUGAAAGCUUUCUUGUGGAAAAUGAAUAAAUUGGAAUCGUUACAAAUAAAAUUCUAGAUUCAACAAUGAAUAAUCCAUACUAGGUGAGGAAAGCAGAAACGCUAGAAGCAAUGGAGAAGAAAGUGCUAGAACAGAGAAAGUCCAACUUGUAGAAAAGCUUGAAAGAAAACGAAGAUCUGAAGUUUGCAAGCGUAGGAGGAAAAAUAGAAGAGGUUUAGUCACAAAGAAAGUAAUAGACGUAAAAGACAACCCAACCCGAGCUUGCUGUUGAAGUUGAUAGUUCUUUCCAAUUUAUUGUGGUUACUCAACUUAAAGAAGAAAAAAGAAAAUUUGUUGAGGUCAUCUUGGUUUCACCUGGAUGGACAAAACGGAGCAUCAUCGGUCCACCUUACUCAAUAACCUACCGCAACGUAAACCAUCGUGAGCUUCUUCUCGUUCUCGAUGUUGCUAAAGCGAAAGAGACUCACUUCUUCGGCAACGUGCCGUUGCCCUCCCGCGGACGAAGUUACGCCCUUGGCUCGAGUCCGGUAAUGCCGUAAUAUUGCGUAUUAAUAAUAAGGAGGGUACGUUGACCGCUUCUCUUUGAGCAGGUGAAGGAAAAGUGUUAUUUUGUUUUAUAUCUUUUUUAAGAAACAUUUUAGAUUUUGGUUUAGUGUUUUUUUACUUACAACUUUUUUGGUGGGUGAUCAAAGGUGGAUUUUCCCCCUCGGUGUUGACAUUGUUGGGAAUCGGACGGCUUCCUUGAAAAUUGUUCAGUUGUACUCGACAAAUAGUGCGUUUCAUCCCCUCUUUAAUUAACUGAAAAUAUUUACCAAAACCCCUUGGGAAUUGUUGCGGAGACAAUUAUAUUCCAGUGAAACUAAAAAUGUUAUGUUAUACAAAACAAUUAAAUUAAAAAUUAU